UACGUAGGGGGCUAGCGUUGUCCGGAAUCAUUGGGCGUAAAGAGCGUGUAGGCGGCCAGGUAGGUCUGCUGUGAAAACUCGAGGCUCAACCUCGAGACGUCGGCGGAAACCAUCUGGCUAGAGUCCGGAAGAGGAGAGUGGAAUUCCUGGUGUAGCGGUGAAAUGCGCAGAUAUCAGGAAGAACACCCGUGGCGAAGGCGGCUCUCUGGGACGGUACUGACGCUGAGACGCGAAAAGCGUGGGGAGCGAACAGG
rnacentral:rRNA from 1 species